rnacentral:lncRNA from 1 species
CUUAUAUAUCUGCUCUGAAGCUGGUUCAUGUCAGUUUAUUUUUCCCCAGGGCCGUGCAGAAGGGCAUCUGAUCAUAUGGCUGACAUAAGUCACACUGAACUGUCUGAAACCAUCUCCACAAGUGUGAUUGUCUAGAAGAAAAUCAUGGAGAUGUCUGGAGGCAUAAUAUCAACACCGCAUGCUGGUUCACGUUAAUUUUUUUCUUAUUCCAACAUGGAAGGGAACCAUGACUGGCAGAACAGUGACAGAGACCAGAAUGUGAAACCUUCUUCCUCACACAUACAUAGUGAUUCAAAUGACACCCUCUUCAACACUGAGAGCUGAGGAAAAGAAAAUUGCUCACUUGACUGCUGAAUACUAUGGGCUCUAGAAGUCUGGAAACAGAAUUGUCUUUCAUAAGAAGACAAAAAAUGCCUUGCUGGGUUGGAACCCUGACAUGGUAUCAGGCUGUCUAGUGGUCUAGCCAUGAUGCCUGCAACCCACCAACAUUUUUCCUGUGUCUGCAGCAUCCUGUGCAUUGUGUGAAAAACCCUUCCUUUUCAUCCGGAUUCUCCCAAAAUACAGCUGCAUUGCACCAGAACGUGAUUGAUGGGAAUACAGACAGUAGUACUUGUGUCAAAGCCUCCCAGGUUGUGGAAUAUAUUAGACGAUGCCUCUUCUGGUGUCGAAAAGUCAGACUACCCCCCUCUUCUGUGCACUGUAUCAUCAUUUUUAUUCUGAUAUUUUGAACUGAUUUUACUUGGAUUGAAUAUAUUUUAACUGCUAAUAACUCAUGCUGAGAUCUUAAGGUGUGGAAAAAUGCAUUGAGAUAAAAANAUGUUUGAAACACAUUUACAUUGUCCAUUCAGAUUUCAUAAUUUUAAAGAUGCCAUAAGUCUGUUUCUUAGUUUUGCUACAAUGAACAGUUUUCCUUUUGAAAAGGAACGCAACAGCUAAUAGUCCCAUGAAGUAGAUAAAAUGUUGAGUAGUCUGGGGGACGCAGAAGAGCUACAAUAUUUUCUAUGAGAAUGAAUGGAUUAGUACCUUUCCAUAUUCUUCAAACCUAUCUGGGUUUCUGAGAAACCAAAACGGCUAAGGAUCUCUUGAAUUGGGCCCAUAGGAAAACCAUUCACAAUAUUUCUGAAAUCAGAAACUGCCUUUUGAAGUGCAAUAAAGAACUGAGUUAGCUUCUGAUAGAGUAACUA